rnacentral:rRNA from 1 species
GGUGUGAAUUGCAGAAUCCCGUGAACCAUCGAGUCUUUGAACGCAAGUUGCGCCCGAGGCCACUACGGCCGAGGGCACGUCUGUCUGGGCGUCGCAUGCAGCGUCACCUAACACCUCUCCCCUGCGUGGAGGUGUCGGUGGAGUAUGGCCUCCCGCGUCGUAGGUCUCGACGCGGUUGGCCCAAAUGGGAAGCUCGGGGAAACGGAUGCCCGUGACGAUGGGUGGUCAGCGAGGCCGAAAGGCACGGUCACGACGUCUCGUCAUGGCAUGGUUUCCCGCUGCUCGUUUCGAUCCCGUUCUGCCGCCAUGGCAGGAUGGAUACAGGGCGACCCCAGAUCAGGCGGGGUUACCC